rnacentral:rRNA from 1 species
ACGCUGACAGAAUGCUUAACACAUGCAAGUCUUUGGCGAAGCUGUGCUUGCACAGCCUAGCCAAGGCGGACGGGUGAGUAACGCGUAAGGAACUUGCCCUGCAGUCAGGGAUAACAGACGGAAACGACUGAUAAGACCUGGUAAAGUCAGGCGGACUCAUGUCCAGCCUGAUGAAAGGAGAUGCUGCAGGAGAGCCUUGCGUCCUAUUAGCUUGUUGGUGGGGUAACGGCCCACCAAGGCGAUGAUAGGUAGCCGGCCUGAGAGGGUGGACGGCCACAAGGGGACUGAGAUACGGCCCUUACUCCUACGGGAGGCAGCAGUGGGGAAUAUUGGACAAUGGGGGCAACCCUGAUCCAGCAAUUCUGUGUGCACGAUGAAGGUUUUCGGAUUGUAAAGUGCUUUCAGCAGGGAAGAAAAAAAUGACGGUACCUGCAGAAGAAGCGACGGCUAAAUACGUGCCAGCAGCCGCGGUAAUACGUAUGUCGCAAGCGUUAUCCGGAAUUAUUGGGCAUAAAGGGCAUCUAGGCGGCCAGAUAAGUCUGGGGUGAAAACUUGCGGCUCAACCGCAAGCCUGCCCUGGAAACUAUGUGGCUAGAGUACUGGAGAGGUGGACGGAACUGCACGAGUAGAGGUGAAAUUCGUAGAUAUGUGCAGGAAUGCCGAUGAUGAAGAUAGUUCACUGGACGGUAACUGACGCUGAAGUGCGAAAGCUAGGGGAGCAACCAGGAUUAGAUACCCUGGUAGUCCUAGCUGUAAACGAUGAUUACUGGGUGUGGGCAUGAAGAGUGUCCGUGCCGAAGCUAAUGCGAUAAGUAAUCCGCCUGGGGAGUACGGCCGCAAGGCUGAAACUCAAAGGAAUUGACGGGGACCCGCACAAGCGGUGGAGCAUGUGGUUUAAUUCGACGC